CGUGAGUGAAGAAGGCUUUCGGGUCGUAAAGCUCUGUCAAGUGGGAAGAACCUGUCUCGUGCUAAUAUCGCGGGACACUGACGGUACCACUGGAGGAAGCACCGGCUAACUCCGUGCCAGCAGCCGCGGUAAGACGGAGGGUGCAAGCGUUAUUCGGAAUUACUGGGCGUAAAGGGCGCGUAGGCGGCUCUUUAAGUCAGGCGUGAAAGCCCGGGGCUAAACCUCGGAAGUGCGUCUGAAACUAAGGGGCUUGAGUACGGGAGAGGGAAGUGGAAUUCCUGGCGUAGAGGUGAAAUUCGUAGAUAUCAGGAGGAACACCGGUGGCGAAGGCGACUUCCUGGACCGAUACUGACGCUGAGGCGCGAAAGCGUGGGGAGCAAACAGGAUUAGAGACCCUGGUAGUCCACGCCGUAAACGAUGAACACUAGGUGUAGCGGGUAUUGAACCCUGCUGUGCCGCAGCUAACGCAUUAA
rnacentral:rRNA from 1 species